rnacentral:rRNA from 1 species
GAUGAACGCUGGCGGCGUGCCUAAUACAUGCAAGUCGAGCGAACAGACGAGGAGCUUGCGCCGCGGACGUUAGCGGCGGACGGGAGAGUAACACGUGGAUAACCUACCUGUCAUACUGGGAACACCACGGGAAAGCGGAGCAAAUACCGUAUAAUAUAUUGAACCACAUUGUGCGAUAGUGAAAUACGGUGGUGGUGUCACUAAUCGCGGGAUCCCGGCCGGUUUAGCUAGUUGUGAAGGUAAAGGCUUACCAAGGCAAGGAUGCGUAGCCGACCUGACAGGGGGGUCGGCCACCCUGGAACUGAGACACGGUCCAGACUCCUACGGGAGGCAGCAGUAGGGAAUCUUCCGCAAUGGGCGAAAGCUUGACGGAGCAACGCCGCGUGAGUGAUGAAGGUCUUCGGAUCGUAAAACUCUGUUAUUAGGGAAGAACAAAUGUGUAAGUAACUAUGCACGUCUUGACGGUACCUAAUCAGAAAGCCACGGCUAACUACGUG